rnacentral:misc_RNA from 1 species
GAUGAAGAACGUAGCGAAAUGCGAUAAGUAAUGUGAAUUGCAGAAUUCCGUGAAUCAUCGAAUCUUUGAACGCACAUUGCGCCCCCUGGCAUUCCGGGGGGCAUGCCUGUCCGAGCGUCAUUUCUGCCCUCAAGCACGGCUUGUGUGUUGGGUGUGGUCCCCCCGGGGACCUGCCCGAAAGGCAGCGGCGACGUCCGUCUGGUCCUCGAGCGUAUGGGGCUUUGUCACUCGCUCGGGAAGGACCUGCGGGGGUUGGUCACCACCAUAUUUUACCACGGUUGACCUCGGAUCAGGUAGGAGUUACCCGCUGAACUUAAGCAUAUCAAUAGCGGAGGA